rnacentral:rRNA from 1 species
AAAUUGAAGAGUUUGAUCAUGGCUCAGAUUGAACGCUGGCGGCAGGCCUAACACAUGCAAGUCGAACGGUAACAGGAAGAAGCUUGCUUCUUUGCUGACGAGUGGCGGACGGGUGAGUAAUGUCUGGGAAACUGCCUGAUGGAGGGGGAUAACUACUGGAAACGGUAGCUAAUACCGCAUAAUGUCGCAAGACCAAAGAGGG